AUUGAACGCUGGCGGCAGGCCUAACACAUGCAAGUCGAACGAGUGGCGGACGGGUGAGUAAUGUCUGGGAAACUGCCCGAUGGAGGGGGAUAACUACUGGAAACGGUAGCUAAUACCGCAUACCAUCGGAUGUGCCCAGAUGGGAUUGGCUAGUAGGUGGGGUAACGGCUCACCUAGGCGACGAUCCCUAGCUGGUCUGAGAGGAUGACCAGACACACUGGAACGGAAAAACGGCCCAGACUCCUACGGGAGGCAGCAGUGGGGAAUAUUGGACAAUGGGCGCAAGCCUGAUGCAGCAAUGCCGCGUGUAGUAAGAAGGUCUUCGGGUUUUAAAGUACUUUCAGCGAGGAGGCGUUACUCGCAGAAGAAGCACCGGCUAACUCCGUGCCAGCAGCCGCGGUAAUUC
rnacentral:rRNA from 1 species